rnacentral:lncRNA from 1 species
ACAGGAGAUUGCGACGAGGGCGGUCCAAGUUCAGGACGAGGGAUUUAAAAAAGAUCAGAUGUUACCGAUGUGAUGAGUUGGGGCAUCUAACCAGAGAUUACCCUCAAUUUAGGGAUCGGACGAAGAUUACUGCAGCGACGGUCAGUAGCGAUUCAGAGAGUGAUGUCCUGAAAAUAUCUGACAAGAUAUAUAUUUCUUCUCAGCAGUAGAUUUUAAAUUCUAUAUGCACCUAUCAUGUAUGUUGCAGAGGAGUAGUUUGACUCCCUAGAGAACAGUGAGGGCACUGUUUAUCUAUCAGAUAAAUCGAGUUGUGCGAUCAGAGACAUCAAGACGGUCAGCUGAAGGACACAUGAUGGUGCAAUGAGAAGAUUAAUGGAGGUCUGAUACAUAUCCAAUUUUAGAUAGAAUAUUAUCUCACUGAGCAGACUGAAUUCGAGAGGCUACAGGAUAGUAGCUGGUGGAGGAAUCCUGAAGGUGCUACGCGGUGAUAAAAUUAUUCUGGAGGAAAAAAAGAAGAUGAGAGGACAUUACUACUUAACGAGGAGUCCAGUGCGAGAUAGAGCUUCGAGAGCCAAGAGAAGUUCAGAGUGAGGUAGAGCUCCAGGUGGAGGUGGAUUGGGCACGAGAUGUGAGAUUUGGAAGGAUGAGAAGCGAUAUCGCAAGGUGAGAUUUCUAUUGCCGCAGGAUGAUACCCUGAGCAAGUCUCAGAUCAGGAGGAGCACAGCAUACGACGGAGAUGAAAUCGAGCGGUCUGACUCGACUCCCAUAUUUGUCCAUCCAUGAUCAACAGACGAUUGUCCCAGAGCAUGGGGGUGAGGAGAUCCAGAAGCUCUUAGAGUUAGGAGGAGAUCGAAUAUCGAGUCGAGGUGGAGAUUGUUAGGAUUUGAUACUUCGAGAUUUGAUACACAUUGAGUCUAUAGCGAUGUCCGCAACGACGAAAGGAGUCCAACGAGCCCAAGAUCAUCUCAAAUGGAGUUCGGAUGAUCGAGAUACGUUCGAUUGAAGUUGGCACGAAAUUCGGAACGACAGAGGAUUGGCGG